AUUACCACAAACCUGGUGGAUUGAAACAGC
rnacentral:piRNA from 1 species